rnacentral:sRNA from 1 species
CUCUUCCACCAGUUGCGGGCAGACGAAAUGGAUAUGGGCAUCCAGGGCGCCGGCUGUCAGGAUCAUGCCUUCGCCGGCGAUGAUCUCGGUGCCGGGGCCGAUGACGAUCUCCACGUCGGGCUGGGUGUCGGGGUUGCCCGCCUUGCCGAUGGCAGCGAUACGACCACCCUUGAGUCCCACGUCGGCCUUGACGAUGCCCCACCAGUCGAGGAUCAGGGCGUUGGUAAUCACGGUAUCCAUCACCGCGUCGUCAUGGCGCUGGCUCUGGCCCAUGCCGUCGCGAA